ACUAAUAAAUUAAAACCUAUUAGUUAAUUAAUUAAAUUGGGUUAAAGAGUUUAUAUAGUGAUAAUAAUUUUUAAAAAAACAACAUAAAUGUACGUACGUAUUUUUAAUGUUUCAUACACGUAAUUUUAACAAAAAUUUGAGUAAGACACACAAAAUUCACGUAUUAUACAAAUAAUUCUCACAUGUUAUUGAAUAAGAAUAACAUAUGUUAUAAAAAUUAUUAGAGUGGAAGAUUAGUAUCUACUUUGGAUAUGUUGAAACUAGCAAAUUAAUAUUUAUAAGGUACAAACUA
rnacentral:lncRNA from 1 species